AUACGGAGGGUCCAAGCGUUAUCCGGAAUCAUUGGGUUUAAAGGGUCCGCAGGCGGUCAAUUAAGUCAGAGGUGAAAGCCCAUCGCUCAACGAUGGAACUGCCUUUGAUACUAGUUGACUUGAGUUAUACGGAAGUAGAUAGAAUAAGUAGUGUAGCGGUGAAAUGCAUAGAUAUUACUUAGAAUACCGAUUGCGAAGGCAGUCUACUACGUAUAUACUGACGCUGAGGGACGAAAGCGUGGGGAGCGAACAGGAUUAGAAACCCCAGUAGUCC
rnacentral:rRNA from 1 species